GAAUUGCAGAACUCCGUGAACCAAUGGCCUCUUGAACGUGCUUUGCGCUCUU
rnacentral:rRNA from 1 species